rnacentral:rRNA from 1 species
AGAGUUUGAUCCUGGCUCAGGAUGAACGCUAGCGGCAGGCCUAAUACAUGCAAGUCGAACGGUGCCUUCGGGUACAGUGGCAAACGGGUGCGUAACGCGUAAGCAACCUGCCCUCUACCGGGGGAUAGCCUGGCGAAAGCCGGGGUAAACCCGCAUGGUUCCAAGCAACCACCUGGUUUCUUGGGUAAACAUUAUAUGGGUAGGGGAGGGGCUUGCGUCUGAUUAGUUAGUUGGCGGGGUAAGGGCCCACCAAGACAGUGAUCAGUAGGGGUUCUGAGAGGAUUGGCCCCCACAUGGGUACUGAGAUACGGACCCAACUCCUACGGGAGGCAGCAGUAGGGAAUAUUGGGCAAUGGAGGCAACUCUGACCCAGCCAUGCCGCGUGCAGGAUGAAGGCGCUCAGCGUCGUAAACUGCUUUUAUCUACGAAGAACGGCAGGCCUGCGGGCUUGUGUGACGGUAGUAGAGGAAUAAGCACCGGCUAACUCCGUGCCAGCAGCCGCGGUAAUACGGAGGGUGCAAGCGUUGUCCGGAUUUAUUGGGUUUAAAGGGUGCGUAGGUGGCGUCUUAAGUCUGGUUUGAAAGCAGGCGGCUCAACCGUCUGAUGUGGCUGGAAACUGGGGUGCUUGAAUGCGUUGGCGGUAGCCGGAACGGGUCAUGUAGCGGUGAAAUGCAUAGAUAUGACCCAGAACACCGAUUGCGAAGGCAGGCUACUAGGACGUGAUUGACACUGAGGCACGAGAGCAUGGGUAGCGAACAGGAUUAGAUACCCCGGUAGUCC